UCCUCAUAGCUCAGUUCGUAAAGAAUCUGCCUGCAAUGCAGAAGACCCCAGUUCAAUUCUGGGGUCGGGAA
rnacentral:tRNA from 1 species